rnacentral:rRNA from 1 species
UUCAGCAGCCAUAUCACCUGCAGUUCAGGCUAGACAAUCUGUCUGCAGUUAAGCAGCUUUGGGGCUGGCUAGUACUUGGCUGGGAGACCUGGGAACUGGGAAAGCUGGGUUUUUGCUGGAA